AGCGGAGGAAAAGAAACCAACAGGGAUUGCCCCAGUAACGGCGAGUGAAGCGGCAAUAGCUCAAAUUUGAAAUCUGGCUCUUUCAGGGUCCGAGUUGUAAUUUGCAGAGGGCGCUUUGGUGUCGGCAGCGGCCUAAGUUCCUUGGAACAGGUCAUCAUAGAGGGUGAGAAUCCCGUAUGUGGCUGCUUGUCUUCACCGUGUAAAGCCCCUUCGAUGAGUCGAGUUGUUUGGGAAUGCAGCUCUAAAUGGGAGGUAAAUUUCUUCUAAAGCUAAAUAUUGGCCAGAGACCGAUAGCGCACAAGUAGAGUGAUCGAAAGAUGAAAAGCACUUUGGAAAGAGAGUCAAAAAGCACGUGAAAUUGUUGAAAGGGAAGCGCUUGCAGCCAGACGUGCCCGUAGUUGCUCAUCUGGGGAUUUCCCCAGUGCACUCUUCUAUGGGCAGGCCAGCAUCAGUUCGGGCGGUUGGAGAAAGACCUGUGUCACGUAGCUCUCUUCGGGGAGUGUUAUAGGGCAGGUGGAAUGCGACCAGCCUGGACUGAGGUCCGCGCAUCUGCUAGGAUGCUGGCGUAAUGGCUGUAAGCGGCCCGUCUUGAAACACGGACCAAGGAGUCUAACAUCUAUGCGAGUGUUUGGGUGUCAAGCCCGAGCGCGUAAUGAAAGUGAACGGAGGUGGGAACCCCUCGGGGUGCACCAUCGACCGAUCCUGAUGUCUUCGGAUGGAUUUGAGUAAGAGCAUAGCUGUUGGGACCCGAAAGAUGGUGAACUAUGCCUGAAUAGGGUGAAGCCAGAGGAAACUCUGGUGGAGGCUCGCAGCGGUUCUGACGUGCAAAUCGAUCGUCAAAUUUGGGCAUAGGGGCGAAAGACUAAUCGAACUAUCUAGUAGCUGGUUCCUG
rnacentral:rRNA from 1 species